AAUGAACGUUGGCGGCGUGGAUUAGGCAUGCAAGUCGAGCGGCAGCAGGCCCCGCAAGGGGUACUCGAGCGGCGAAAGGGAUAGUAACGCGUGGACUACCUACCUCCAGGACUGGGAUAGCUGCGGGAAACUGCAAUUAAUACCAGAUGAUGUCUUCGGACCAAAGGUGUGAUUCCGCCUGGAGACGGGUCCGCGUCCUAUUAGCUAGUUGGUGAGGUAACGGCCCACCAAGGCAAGGAUGGGUAGCGGGUGUGAGAGCACGACCCACAUCACUGGGACUGAGAACUGCCCAGACACCUACGGGUGGCUGCAGUCGAGGAUCUUCGGCAAUGGGCGAAAGCCUGACCGAGCGACGCCGCGUGUGGGAUGAAGGCCUUCGGGUUGUAAACCACUGUCAGAGGGGAGGAAGUUCUGGGGGGUUCACCCUCCAGUUUGACCUAUCCUCAGAGGAAGGACGGGCUAAGUUCGUGCCAGCAGCCGCCGCAGUAA
rnacentral:rRNA from 1 species